AGUGAACGCUGGCGGUAGGCCUAACACAUGCAAGUCGAACGGCAGCACAGUAAGAGCUUGCUCUUACGGGUGGCGAGUGGCGGACGGGUGAGGAAUACAUCGGAAUCUACUUUUUCGUGGGGGAUAACGUAGGGAAACUUACGCUAAUACCGCAUACGACCUACGGGUGAAAGCAGGGGAUCUUCGGACCUUGCGCGAUAGAAUGAGCCGAUGUCGGAUUGGCUAGUUGGCGGGGUAAAGGCCCACCAAGGCGACGAUCCGUAGCUGGUCUGAGAGGAUGAUCAGCCGCACUGGAAAUGAGACACGGACCAGACGCCUACGGGAGGGAGCAGUGGGGAAUAUUGGACAAUGGGCGCAAGCCUGAUCCAGCCCUCCCGCGUUGGUGAAGCAGGCCUUCGGGUUGUAAAGCCCUUUUGUUGGGAAAGAAAUCCAGCCGGCUAAUACCUGGUUGGGAUGACGGUACCCAAAGAAUAAGCACCGGCUAACUUCGUGCCAGCAGCCGCCGUAA
rnacentral:rRNA from 1 species